AAACAAGAGGAGGCGAACGGAAGCGCCAGUUCCGUCAGUCGCUUGAGCACAUGUAUGAAUAAUACUUAUGAGGGCGAAAGUUGCUGAUGAUUUUCGAUGAUGACCUCCAAAACUGCAUGAGAGACGUAUUUUUCAAUAACUAUGUCUUUGGCCAACUUAGAUAAGGCUGGAGUUAAUGAAAUAGGUCGAAGAUUCUUGUUUAUAUCACGGAUUGGUUUAUUUUUCGGGAUGGGUAUAAUAUUAGCUUGUUUCCAAGCGUUUGGCAAAUGUUUUAAAUAGUUUGAUUAUUUGCAAUGUUUUAAAUAGUUUGCAUCCUUGGAACUUAAACGUCUUUCUGCCUGCUUCGGUUUUAAUUCGUGGUGCUCCAGGAAGCGUCUACAAACAAUUACAAUUUUAUGAUCUGACAAAGUCCUCCAGCACAAAUCCAUUGAUCAUUCCCUAUCAAUUACUUCCAAGAGUACAGUCGCGUCGCCGGAGGAGUGAAAUGGCAUGCACUGUUAUUGCUAGUGCCAUUGUUAUAAUAUGUUCUUGUUAAAUUAUAUGGAAACAGACAUUUUCAAUUGUGUAAGGUGGAAACAUCUAUAGCCUGUUGGGGCAAAGUUGAUAUGAUAAUCCCUUUAGUUAUCAAUAUCUGAUAACAUGCGAGGUAAAAAUGAUUCACUUGAGUUAUGCCAAUGUGGAUUCAGCACCGUGUGAAUUUCAGUGUGCUCCAUACAUUUUUGAAACAAGAACUAGUCUCCACAAAGUAAAAAAAAAAAAAGAAAAAAAAAAGUAAAGCCAGCUUCGUGUUUACCGCGCAGACAAAAACAAUGGAAAGCGACUGCAACUGGCGUCCAAUAGCUCCUUCAAUUUCAGCCACAUUGGCAAGGAAUGUCCCGAAACUUCGUAUCUUGACAUCGAUUUAAUUUAAAGGAUAACAUUGUUGUUUAUGAAAUGCUCAUCUGGCUAGCGAGAUGCAUGGUCCACAUUGGAUGUUUCACAACAAAAGUUCUGGUCUAACAUCACUAGGUUGGGACGAUUUUAAUGAAUUAAAUGUUAGAAAAAUUUUCCUCAUUUCAAUAAUAUUAAUAUGUAGUGGAAUCCACUCAAGUUCACGAAAUAGAUUAAUGGAAGUAGCUCUAUGAUCUUGUUCUAAAAUUAAUCUAGCUGCUCUUUUUUGCAGUAUAAAAAAAUCAUUAAGUAGCUCGUUCCUUGCACUACUCCAAAUGGUGCAGCAGUACAACAGGUGUGGAUAAAUUAAAGAGUAAUAAAACUGGAUGCGAAAACGUAAGGGAAGGCUAUGUCUAAUUCUGUUGAGCAAAUAGAGCCUGGAAUUAAUGGUAUUGUAAAUUAGAUGAAUUUGGCAGUCCCAUUUUAAAUAACAGUCGAAUGUAAUACCAAGAAGUUUAGCCUUAUUUACCUCUUCAAUAACCACACCAUCAAGUUGCACUAUUAGAGGAGAGGUAUCUAGAAAUUUACGCUUAGAGUAAACUUUAAUCGAUUUAGUUUUUUUUUUUUUACAUUUAAGACAACGUGAAGUAAAUUUAAAUUAUAACUGA